rnacentral:rRNA from 1 species
GUUUUAUCAGUAUCAAUACAUGCUCGUGUUGUAGGGAAAGAACCAACGCUCCCGUUACGAAGUAGGCACCGUUACCUGGACGAGUACGUAACCAAUAAAGCCAGGAUUAUCUAGCGUGCCCAGCAGCCCGUGAUAAUAUGUAGGUGGCUGAGUGAUAGUCAAAGACUUAUUGGGCGUAAAUGGGCUGCGCGGGCGGUUUUCAUUAUGUAUGAUGUGAAAGUCUCCCGGCUCAACCGGGGGAGGGUCAUUGGAAAACUGGGGAACUUGAGUGCAGAAGAGGGAGAGAAUACUUCCCACGUGUAGCGAUUAAUUGUGUAGAGAGGGGGAGAACCAGCAGUGUCGACGGCGACUCUCUGGUCUGUAACUGUCGUUGGGGAGAGAAAGCGUGGGGAGAGAACAGUUUUAGAUACGUUGUUCGUCAAAUCUGUAAACGUUGAGUGGUAAGUGUUGGAGUUCUUCUCCCCUUUUGUGCAGCAGAUAACCCCUUAAUCAAUCCGCCUGGGGAGUACGGUCGCAGGACUGAAACUUAAGAGAUAAGAAGCGGCCCCGCACCAGCGGUGGAGCAUGAGUUUUAGUUAACAGCAACCAGAAGAACAUUACCAGGUCUGGACAUCCUUAGACAAUCGUGGAGAUAGGAUUUCCCAUUGGGAGGCAGACUCCCUGUUGGAGCAUGGUUGUUUUCUCCUUAACUAGAGAGAUGUUGGAUUAAGUCCCGCAACGAGCGCAACCGGCGAUGUUAGUUCCCAGCAUUCAGUUGGGCACUAGAAGGUGACUCCGGUGACAAACCGGAGGAAGGUGGGGAUGACGUCAACUCAUCAUGCCCCUUAUGACCUGGGCUACACACGUGCUACAAUGGACAGAACAAAGGGCAGAGAAACCGCGAGGUUAAGCCAAUCCCACAAAUCUGUUCUCAGUUCGGAUCGCAGUCUGCAACUCGACCGCGUGAAGCAGGCAUCGCUCGUAAUCGAGGAUCAGCAUGCCGCGGUGAUUACGUUCCCGGGCCCUGUACACACCGCCCGUCACACCCCGAGAGUUGGUAACACCCGAGGUCGGUGAGGUAACCUUCUAGGAGCCCGCCGCUUGACUGUAACGUACAUUGC